rnacentral:rRNA from 1 species
GGUUAAGCGACUAAGCGUACACGGUGGAUGCCCUGGCAGUCAGAGGCGAUGAAGGACGUGCUAAUCUGCGAUAAGCGUCGGUAAGGUGAUAUGAACCGUUAUAACCGGCGAUUUCCGAAUGGGGAAACCCAGUGUGAUUCGUCACACUAUCAUUAACUGAAUCCAUAGGUUAAUGAGGCGAACCGGGGGAACUGAAACAUCUAAGUACCCCGAGGAAAAGAAAUCAACCGAGAUUCCCCCAGUAGCGGCGAGCGAACGGGGAGCAGCCCAGAGCCUGAAUCAGUGUGUGUGUUAGUGGAAGCGUCUGGAAAGGCGUGCGAUACAGGGUGACAGCCCCGUACACAAAAAUGCACAUGCUGUGAGCUCGAUGAGUAGGGCGGGACACGUGGUAUCCUGUCUGAAUAUGGGGGGACCAUCCUCCAAGGCUAAAUACUCCUGACUGACCGAUAGUGAACCAGUACCGUGAG